rnacentral:rRNA from 1 species
AUUGAACGCUGGCGGCAUGCCUUACACAUGCAAGUCGAACGGCUGCACGGGAGCAAUCCUGGUGGCGAGUGGCGAACGGGUGAGUAAUAUAUCGGAACGUGCCCAGUCGUGGGGGAUAACGUAGCGAAAGCUACGCUAAUACCGCAUACGAUCUAUGGAUGAAAGCGGGGGAUCGCAAGACCUCGCGCGAUUGGAGCGGCCGAUAUCAGAUUAGGUAGUUGGUGAGGUAAAGGCUCACCCAGCCGACGAUCUGUAGCUGGUCUGAGAGGACGACCAGCCGGACUGGGGCUGUGACACGGCCAAGACGCCUACGGGGGGCAGCAGUGGGGAAUUUUGGACAAUGGGCGCAAGCCUGAUCCAGCAAUGCCGCGUGCAGGAUGAAGGCCUUCGGGUUGUAAACUGCUUUUGUACGGAACGAAACGGUGAGCUCUAAUACAGUUUGCUAAUGACGGUACCGUAAGAAUAAGCACCGGCUAACUACGUGCCAGCAGCCGCCGUAA